rnacentral:rRNA from 1 species
UACGUAGGGAGCAAGCGUUGUCCGGAAUCAUUGGGCGUAAAGCGCGCGUAGGCGGUCAGGUAAGUCCGGUGUGAAAGUCAAAGGCUCAACCUUUGAAUGCCGCUGGAUACUGCCUGACUUGAGUCCGGAAGGGGCGAGUGGAAUUCCUGGUGUAGCGGUGAAAUGCGCAGAUAUCAGGAGGAACACCAAUGGCGAAGGCAGCUCGCUGGAACGGUACUGACGCUGAGGCGCGAAAGCGUGGGGAGCGAACAGG